rnacentral:rRNA from 1 species
GGUUCGAUUCUGGUCAGAUUGAACGCUGGCGGGAUGCUUUACACAUGCAAGUCGAACGGCAGCACGGACUUCGGUCUGGGUGGCGAGUGGCGAACGGGUGAGUAAUGUAUCGGAACGUGCCUAUAGCGGGGAUAACUACGCGAAAGCAGAGCCAAUACCGCAUACGCCCUUCGGGGAAAGCGGGGUGAACUUUCGGGCCUCGCACUAUUAGGAGCGGCUGAUAUCGUGGAUUAUUAGUUGGUGGGUAACGGCUCACCAAGGCGACGAUCCGCAGCUGGUUUGAGGACGACCAGCCACACUGGGAUCGAGAUUGACGGCCCAGAGACUCCUACGGAGGCAGCAGUGGGAAUUCUUGGGAUGGAAUUGGGGGAAACUCCUGAUCCAGCCAUCCCGCGUGUGCGAUGAAGGCCUUCUCGGGUUGUAAAGCACUUUGGCAGGAAAAGAAACGGCACGGGAUAAUACCCCGUGCAACUGAUUGCGGUACCUGCAGAAUAAAACACCUGUAUUAACUACGCCAGCAGCCGCGGUAAUACGUGUGAGUGCAAGCGUUAAUCGGAAUUACUGGGCGUAAAGUGGCGCAGGCGGUUCGGAAAGAAAGAUGUGAAAUCCCAAGAGCUGAAUCUUUGAAACCAAAAUUUUUAAUUACCGAGCUAGAGUGUGUCAGAGGGAGGUGGAAUUCGCGUAGCAGGAAAUGCGGUAGAUAUGCGGAGGAACACCGACAUGAAGGCGGCCUCCUGGGAUAACACCGACGCUCAUGCACGAAAGCGUGGGGAGCAAACAGGAUUAGAUACCCUGGUAGUCCACGCCCUAAACGAUGUCAACUAGCUGUUGGGGCUUUCGGCCUGGUAGCGCAGCUAACGUGCGGUGAAGCUGGACUCGCCUAUACGGUCAAAGAUUAAACUCAAAGGAAUUGACGGGACUCCGCACAAGCGGUGGAUGAUGUGGAUUAAUUGAUGCAACGCGAAAAACCCACUAUUCUUGACAUGUCUGGAAUCCCGAAGAGAUUUGGGAGUGCCUGCAAGAGAACCGGAACACAGGUGCUGCAUGGCUGUCGUCAGCUCGUGUCGUGAGAUGUUGGGUUAAGUCCCGCAACGAGCGCAACCCUUGUCAUUAUUGCUACGGAAAGGCACUCCAUAACUGACUGCCGGUGACAAACCGAGGAAGGUGGGAUGACGUCAAGUCCUCAGCGGGCCCUGGCGGUAGGGCUUGUACAUCGUCAUACAAUGGUCGGGACAGAGGGUCGCCAACCCGCGAGGGGGAGCCAAUCCCAGAAACCUGAUCGUAGUCCGAUCGUAGUCUGCAACUCGACUGGUAGUCGGAAUCGCUAGUAAUCGCGAUCAGCAUGUCGCGGUGAAUACGUUCCCGGGUCUUGUACACACUGCCCGUCACACCAUGGGAGUGGGUUUUACCAGAAGUAGUUAGCCUAACCGUAAGGAGGGCGAUUACCACGGUAGGAUUCAUGACUGGGGUGAAGUCGUAAUGAAGGCAG